UUAGAGUUUGAUCCUGGCUCAGGACGAACGCUGGCGGCGUGCCUAAUACAUGCAAGUCGAGCGGACAGAAGGGAGCUUGCUCCCGGAUGUUAGCGGCGGACGGGUGAGUAACACGUGGGUAACCUGCCUGUAAGACUGGGAUAACUCCGGGAAACCGGAGCUAAUACCGGAUAGUUCCUUGAACCGCAUGGUUCAAGGAUGAAAGACGGUUUCGGCUGUCACUUACAGAUGGACCCGCGGCGCAUUAGCUAGUUGGUGGGGUAAUGGCUCACCAAGGCGACGAUGCGUAGCCGACCUGAGAGGGUGAUCGGCCACACUGGGACUGAGACACGGCCCAGACUCCUACGGGAGGCAGCAGUAGGGAAUCUUCCGCAAUGGACGAAAGUCUGACGGAGCAACGCCGCGUGAGUGAUGAAGGUUUUCGGAUCGUAAAGCUCUGUUGUUAGGGAAGAACCAAGUGCGAGAGUAACUGCUCGCACCUGAC
rnacentral:rRNA from 1 species